ACGAACGCUGGCGGCGUGCCUAAUACAUGCAAGUAGAACGCACAGUUUAUACCGUAGCUUGCUACACCAUAGACUGUGAGUUGCGAACGGGUGAGUAACGCGUAGGUAACCUGCCUGGUAGCGGGGGAUAACUAUUGGAAACGAUAGCUAAUACCGCAUAAUAUUAAUUAUUGCAUGAUAAUUAAUUGAAAGGUGCAAUUGCACCACUACCAGAUGGACCUGCGUUGUAUUAGCUAGUAGGUGAGGUAACGGCUCACCUAGGCGACGAUACAUAGCCGACCUGAGAGGGUGAUCGGCCACACUGGGACUGAGACACGGCCCAGACUCCUACGGGAGGCAGCAGUAGGGAAUCUUCGGCAAUGGACGAAAGUCUGACCGAGCAACGCCGCGGGAGUGAAGAAGGUUUUCGGAUCGUAAAGCUCUGUUGUAAGAGAAGAACGGGUGUGAGAGUGGAAAGUUCACACUGUGACGGUAGCUUACCAGAAAGGGACGGCUAACUACGUG
rnacentral:rRNA from 1 species